AUGCAUAUUCAGGAGCCAGAUACCUGGAUGGUAAACAUGUAACAAUGUAAAGUACAUGAACAAUAAGUACUUCAAAUAUUAACUGCCAAUCAAAGUGAUAUAACCUGGAAAGGCACACAAAGCUCACAAAUCCAAGCAAUAGAUCAAGACAACUAGACUAGCCAAAUAGCCGUUAUCAUAACAUCCAACAAAUACCCCCCUUACAAUAAUGAGAACCAAAACAAAGACAUAGAAUAAAAAUGGUCUACCCUAACACAUCAGCUAUAGAUUAAUGCAGCUGAGUUUCAGUAUUUAAGUAAGCCGCAGACAUAUACAAGACAAAUACUAGAGCUGAAUACAUUAUUACAUUUGUUCACAAAUUCAAGAUGUUUAAACAAGUCCCGAGGAAAGCAAGAUGUGCAGAAACAGAAUAGUCUUAUUUGACACUUUUGGAAAAGCAAGAAACCCAGGUCAUCCUCAAGUUCACCUCAGACAACUAUCAACAAUCAAUACUAGAAUACUAAGCAUCAGAUUUCAAGAAUAUAACAGGAAUUGGUCUUACCCAAAGGUUCCCAUCACCCG
rnacentral:misc_RNA from 1 species